AUCCAGCUGACGAGUCCCAAAUAGGACAGGUGAAAUGCUCAUUCUGGAU
rnacentral:hammerhead_ribozyme from 1 species